rfam:Hordeum vulgare subsp. vulgare, WGS project CAJW01000000 data, contig: morex_contig_122495
CUAGUACUUCCUUCGUCUGGAAAUACUUGUAUUAGAGAUAAAUGUAUCUAGAUUUAUUUUAGUUAUAGAUACAUUCAUUAUAUUCAUUUUUAGGACAAGUAUUUCCAGACGGAGGGAGUACUAG